rnacentral:rRNA from 1 species
UACGGAGGAUGCGAGCGUUAUCCGGAUUUAUUGGGUUUAAAGGGUGCGUAGGCGGUCCGUUAAGUCAGCGGUAAAAUUGCGGGGCUCAACCCCGUCGAGCCGUUGAAACUGGCAGACUUGAGUUGGCGAGAAGUACGCGGAAUGCGCGGUGUAGCGGUGAAAUGCAUAGAUAUCGCGCAGAACUCCGAUUGCGAAGGCAGCGUACCGGCGCCAGACUGACGCUGAGGCAC